GACGAACGCUGGCGGCGUGCUUAACACAUGCAAGUCGAACGAGUGGCGAACAGGUGAGUAAUACGGGGGUAACCUGCCCUCUUUUUGGGAUAAGCCUCGGCAACGGGGUCUAAUCCCGAAUAAAGGGGGAUGGGCUCGCGGCUUAUCAGCUUGGUGGUUGGGUGAUGGCCUACCAAGGCGGUGACGGGUAGACGGCCUGAGAGGGUGACAGGCCACGUUGGUACGGAGAUACGGCCCAGACGCCUACGGGAGGAAGCAGUGGGGGAGAUUGCACAAGAGGCGAAAGCCUGAUGCAGCGACGCGGCGUGGGGGAUGAAGGCGGUGGGGUUGUAAACCUCUUUCGCGAACGAACGGGUAGGUGGAGAGGAAGCGCCGGCGAACUGCGGGCCAGCAGCCGCGGUAAUUC
rnacentral:rRNA from 1 species